UGUUGGUGAAACACGUGUAUCGUUUUUAAAAUAUCGCUUGUGGUUUGAAGGCAGGAACCUGUCGUGAGGCAAGCAUCUCUGUCCAAUCAGCCUGACUAAUCUCCUGAAACACCACUUGCACAGUCCGUGCCAGCCCUCCCAGCCCCGGAACCAGACUGGGCUGGGCCGCCUCCCCUGCCCUCGGUGACCCGACCCUGCCUCCCAUGCACAACGCCCUUUGCUCCCACUGACCAGCCUCCUCCCAUUUCUCCUGCAGACACAGCUUCUCCCGCCUUGGCUUGGCUCAGGCCGUGCCCUCUGCCUCCUGGUUAAUAGCUUUCCACUCUUUGGCCUUCCCAGCUCUCCCCUCUGACACUCAGGCCAGCUGGGACAAGCACGUGCUUUUGCCAGCCGGCACGGCAGAUGUCAGAGCGAUGCCAUCUCUGCUGCCUAGGUCUGAAGAAGAAGGCUUGAGGUACCCACACCAGGCCCAUCCCUAUUAUCCCAGCCAAGGACCUCUCUGAGUCUGUUUCCUCACCCUGAAAAAUCAGGAUCUUCAGGUCCACUUGCCAGGAUGUUCUGAGGGUGGGCGGACGUGAUGUCUGUGGGAGGGCUCAGGCAGACCCCCCCCAACACACACACUUUCCAUUCCCCGCUUUCAGACACGUCCUGUCCAAUAGUAGCGGCAGCUGCAGUAGGAGCUCAUUAUUGGAGUGUUUACCUGUCAGCACUGCCCUAAAUCAUGCAUCCUCUCAUUUAAGCCCAACAGUGGGUAACAGGACCCCAUUUCACAGGUGAGGAAAUGGGGGCUCAUCCAGGGUAACUUGCAGGUGAAUCUACCUGUCACCCCACACAUUAGACCACAGGGAGCUCAAAGGCAAGGAGAAUCGUCCACUCGUACACAUAGGGGGUGUCGAGUAGCCAAAGGUCCAUCAACAGAAGAAUGGAUAAACAAGAUGUGCGUUUAACGGUACAGUUUCAUUUUGGGAAAAUGGAAAGUUCCAGAGAUGGAUCAUGGUGAUGGCUGCACAAAAACGUGAAUAUGUUUAAUGCCGCGCACGAACUAUACACUUAAAAAUGGUUAAAAUGUUAAAUUUUAUGUUAUAUAUUUUACCAUAAUGAAUUUUUUUUAAUAUAGUUAGAAGCAAAAAGUAGAAUAGGACCUAAGGGAGGAGGGAAGGAUGAAUUAUUUUUCAUGCUUACAGAAGUUUUGUUGGAGGUGACAAAAGUUUUGGUUAUAGAUAGCAGUGAUGAUUAUACCACAUUGAGAAUGCAUUUAAUGCCACUGCAUCGGACACUUAUGAAUGGUUUCAGUGAUACAUAUUAUUUUAUGAAUAUUUGACCACGCACACACUCAAGGAAGGGAGGUCCUGUUCUUUUUCUAUCUCUCUGGACCCAGAGGCUCAAGCAGGACCUGGCACACAGUUGGCACUCAAGUGCGUUUGUCCAGCAAACGCUCUGCAUAAUACAUUUGGAAAAGAAUAUUUUUUUUUUGUCUUUUUCGGGCCACAUUCAUGGCAUAUGGAGGUUCCCAGGCUAGGGGUCCAAUCAGAGCUGUAACUGUCGGCCUACACCACAGCCGCAGCAACACGGGAUGCAAGCUGUAUCUGUGACCUACCCCACAGCUCAUGGCAACGCCCCAUCCUUAACCCACUGAGCGAGGCCAGGGAUCGAAGCCGUGUCCUCGUGGAUACUAGUCGGGUUCGUUAACUGCCGAGCCAUGAUAGGAACUCCAAGAAUAUUUUUUUAAAAAAAGAGUGUACACAAUUUUUUAAAGAGUUUGGAUUUGAAUAAACUGCAUUUGGAAGGAAGCAGAAGCCUUCAGCCUGGGCGAGAGGAACAGGAUCAGGGCUCUGCCUGAAGUCAGGUCUGUGGCCACUUCCAGCUUCCCUGUGGUCAAAAGUUCCACGGAUGUGUGGAAUCCCCCAAGACAGAGACAGAAACUAACAACAUAAUUAGAAAGCUGCUAUUAAUUGCUAGGCAUUUUACACUCACAUAAUAAGAGCUAGCAAUUAUUGAGUACUUAUUCUGUGCUAGAUGCAAUUCUAAAAGUUUUCACGCCUAACAAUCCCUCCGAGGUGGCUACAAUUAUAAUCCCCAUUUUGUGAUGGAGGAAACGGGAACACAGAGAGAUUAAAUAACUUGUUAAAGGUCACACAGCCAAAUCGCCAUGAAACCCAGACUUGCCUCCAGGUGGUCUGGUUUGCUUAAAGACCAGGGUUUGUGCUUCUGCUUAAAGAAAGACCAGGGUUCAUGCUUCUUCAUGAUGCCUGGCAUUUCUGCGUUUCUCCAAGUCCCGGCCAGCGGGGAAGGCACGGAGAGGGCCUUCAAAGGGAGAGGGAAAGUGAGGAGCAGGACUUUGGAGGCAGGAAUAUGGGCUCUACUUUGGGCAGCAACCAGCCUCGGGCAUCACCCCGACUGGGUCCAAGGCCAGCUUUUGUUGAUUGCCUGGCCCUGGACAAGCUACUUCACCUCUCUAGUCCUGUGCCCUCCUCUGUAAUUUGGCUAUAGCAACAGUAUCUGUCUCAUGGGGUUUUGUGGGAGUUACAUAAAUUAGUAAGCAUGCACCUCAGUGAGUCUGCUGCUGGGUGGGGAUGGGGGAGGUGGGAGUUGGAACGGUGCUCUGGAUUGACCGACGACUUCCUGGAAUGAUCUUGGGCAAUUUCCCUUCCUCUCUGAGCCCCACUGAUCUCAGUGAUGAAACAUAAUUACUAAAACCAACCCCACAGGUUUGUUGUGAGGAUUAAACACACUCUGCAUUUUGUAUGUGUAUCUAUUUAUAGCUCUAAUCCAUUCUCCAAAAAGUAUUUUAGGCAGCUAACAAUAAUACUCCUGUAUUUAACUGGAAAAUGAAGAACUGGAAC
rnacentral:lncRNA from 1 species